rnacentral:rRNA from 1 species
UACAGAGGGGGCAAGCGUUAUUCGGAAUUAUUGGGCGUAAAGGGCGCGUAGGCGGCUUUGCAAGUGACGGGUGAAAGCCCUCGGCUUAACCGAGGAACUGCCUGUCAGACUGGGAGGCUUGAGACCAGGAGAGGUGAGUGGAAUUCCCAGUGUAGCGGUGAAAUGCGUAGAUAUUGGGAGGAACACCAGUGGCGAAGGCGGCUCACUGGACUGGUACUGACGCUGAGGCGCGAAAGCGUGGGGAGCAAACAGG